rnacentral:hammerhead_ribozyme from 1 species
AUUUAACUGACGAAUCCCAAAUAGGACGAAAUGAGAGUGUUUAAU